UAGGGAAUCUUCCACAAUGGACGCAAGUCUGAUGGAGCAACGCCGCGUGAGUGAAAAAGGUUUUCGGAUCGUAAAGCUCUGUUGUUGGUGAAGAAGGAUAGAGGCAGUAACUGGUCUUUAUUUGACGGUAAUCAACCAGAAAGUCACGGCUAACUACGUGCCAGCAGCCGCGGUAAUACGUAGGUGGCAAGCGUUGUCCGGAUUUAUUGGGCGUAAAGCGAGCGCAGGCGGAAUGAUAAGUCUGAUGUGAAAGCCCACGGCUCAACCGUGGAACUGCAUCGGAAACUGUCAUUCUUGAGUGCAGAAGAGGAGAGUGGAAUUCCAUGUGUAGCGGUGGAAUGCGUAGAUAUAUGGAAGAACACCAGUGGCGAAGGCGGCUCUCUGGUCUGCAACUGACGCUGAGGCUCGAAAGCAUGGGUAGCGAACAGG
rnacentral:rRNA from 1 species